rnacentral:rRNA from 1 species
UCAUGGCCUAUUCCGGUUGUGCUGUUUCGCCCGGUCACAUUCCGAACCCGGAAGCUAAGACUCUCAGCGCCGAUGGUACUGCAAGGGGGACCUUGUGGGAGAGUAGGACACCGCCGGACU